GGUUGUAUGGUGCUCCUCCAUUCUUUAUAACAGCUCAUACUAUUCCAUAUACAGCUAUAGAUGGUUUACUUCACUAUUUCUAUAUUGAUGAACAUUUCAGGUGUUUCCAGUUUUUCCUUAAACAAUGCUGUAGUGCCAGCCUUUGUGUGCACGUGCUUGUGUUUGUCUACGACAGUGACCUGGAAUGAAGACUUUUAGGUGGAAGAAUAUGCACAUUUAAAUUUCAGUAGAUCUUGGCAGAAAUUACCCUCCAUUUUCACUCCUUCCAACAGAGAAUGACAGUACUUGUUCUCCUACACCUUUACCAACAUUUGACAACGACCCAGCAGUGAGAUUUCCCAGCAUCCACCUGGCUGCCUGUACAGUAGUGAGCUCCCCAUCACCAGAGGGGCACAAGCAAGGCUAGAGAACCACUGCUGGAGGCAUUCGAAAGGGACUCCCGAUGUGGUGGGCGGGGCUGAACCCUGUGGCUUCUGAGGUCCCUGCCAGCCAGAGACUUGUGUGAGUCUUUGAAUGGCUUCACAUGAACAAAAGAGCAUUUCUGUCACCUUUCCUCUAGUUUUUUCCACCACACCCACCAGGGAGCUGAGGCAAGGUUGUUUCUGUUGCUGUUUCCUUAGGUCAGCUGAGGCUGUCCAUUGAUGCCCAGGACCGGGUUCUGCUGCUUCACAUUAUAGAAGGUAAAGGCCUGAUCAGCAAACAGCCUGGCACCUGUGAUCCGUAUGUGAAGAUUUCUUUGAUCCCUGAAGAUAGUAGACUACGCCACCAGAAGACGCAGACCGUUCCAGACUGCAGAGACCCGGCUUUCCACGAGCACUUCUUCUUUCCUGUCCAAGAGGAGGAUGAUCAGAAGCGUCUCUUGGUUACUGUGUGGAACAGGGCCAGCCAGUCC
rnacentral:lncRNA from 1 species